rnacentral:rRNA from 1 species
GUCUAUGGCCAUGCCACUCUGAACAUGCCCAAUCCCGUCUGAUCUCAGAAGGUAAGCAGGGUCAGGCCUGGUUAGUACUUGGAUGGGAGACCAUCUAGGAAGACCAGGUGCUGUAGGUG